UCGGAACGUGCCUUGCAACAGAUGUGUGGU
rnacentral:piRNA from 1 species